GACGAACGCUGGCGGCGUGCCUAAUACAUGCAAGUCGAGCGCAGGAAAUCGACGGAACCCUUCGGGGGGAAGUCGACGGAAUGAGCGGCGGACGGGUGAGUAACACGUAAAGAACCUGCCCUCAGGUCUGGGAUAACCACGAGAAAUCGGGGCUAAUACCGGAUGGGUCAUCGGACCGCAUGGUCCGAGGAUGAAAGGCGCUUCGGCGUCGCCUGGGGAUGGCUUUGCGGUGCAUUAGCUAGUUGGUGGGGUAAUGGCCCACCAAGGCGACGAUGCAUAGCCGACCUGAGAGGGUGAUCGGCCACACUGGGACUGAGACACGGCCCAGACUCCUACGGGAGGCAGCAGUAGGGAAUCUUCCACAAUGGACGAAAGUCUGAUGGAGCAACGCCGCGUGAACGAUGAAGGCCUUCGGGUCGUAAAGUUCUGUUGUAAGGGAAGAACAAGUGCCGCAGGCAAUGGCGGCACCUUGACGGUACCUUGCGAGAAAGCUACGGCUAACUACGUGCCAGCCGCCGCGGUAACAC
rnacentral:rRNA from 1 species